rnacentral:rRNA from 1 species
GCGGGAAGAGCUCAAAUUUGUAAUCUGGCACUUUCAGUGUCCGAGUUGUAAUCUCGAGAAGUAUUUUCCGCGCCGGACCGCAUACAAGUCUGUUGGAAUACAGCGUCAUAGUGGUGAGAACCCCGUAACUGAUGCGGAUGCCCGGUGCUUUGUGAUAUACUUUCGAAGAGUCGAGUUGUUUGGGAAUGCAGCUCAAAUUGGGUGGUAAAUUCCAUCUAAAGCUAAAUAUUGGAGCAAGACCGAUAGCGAACAAGUACCGUGAGGGAAAGAUGAAAAGCACUUUGGAAAGAGAGUUAACAGUACGUGAAAUUGUUGGAAGGGAAACGCUUGAAGUCAGACUUGCUAUUCGGAGUUCAGCCGCAAGGUGUAUUCUUCGAUUUGCAGGCCAGCAUCAGUUUUUGGGGGUGGAAAAUCGUGGUUUGAAGGUAGCAGUUUCGGCUGUGUUAUAGCUUUCCACUGGAUUCAUCUUCGGGGACUGAGGAACGCAGUACGCUUUUUGCAAGGCUCUCGAGCUUUUCGUACUUAGGAUGCUGGUGGAAUGGCUUUAAACGACCCGUCU